rnacentral:rRNA from 1 species
GAAGCCUGCGGUUCAAUUGGAGUCAACGCCAGGAAACUUACCAGGAGCGACAGCAGGUUGAGAGUCAGGCUGAAGACCUUACUUGACGAGCUGAGAGGAGGUGCAUGGCCGUCGCCAGCUCGUGCCGUGAGGCGUCCUGUUAAGUCAGGCAACGAGCGAGACCCUUGCCGGUAAUUGCUAGCUGGGAUCGCAAGACCCCAGAGGCUAGUUACCGGGACUGCCGCUGCUAAAGCGGAGGAAGGAGAGGGCCACGGCAGGUCAGUAUGCCCCGAAACUCCUGGGCCACACGCGGGCUGCAAUGGUAGGGACAGUGGGUCCCGACCUCGAAAGAGGAAGGCAAUCCUCAAACCCUACCCCAGUUGUGAUUGAGGGCUGAAACCCGCCCUCAUGAAUAUGGAAUCCCUAGUAACCGCGUGUCAUCACCGCGCGGUGAAUACGUCCCUGCUCCUUGC